UACGAAGGGGGCUAGCGUUGCUCGGAAUCACUGGGCGUAAAGCGCACGUAGGCGGAUUGCUAAGUCAGGGGUGAAAUCCUGGAGCUCAACUCCAGAACUGCCCUUGAUACUGGCGGUCUCGAGUCCGGGAGAGGUGAGUGGAACUGCGAGUGUAGAGGUGAAAUUCGUAGAUAUUCGCAAGAACACCAGUGGCGAAGGCGGCUCACUGGCCCGGUUCUGACGCUGAGGCGCGAAAGCGUGGGGAGCAAACAGG
rnacentral:rRNA from 1 species